AGCUGGUCUGAAGGUAGUGAGUUUUCUCAAUUGUUCAUGGUCAGUCACAGAUGGAACUCCUUGUUCUACUCUUUCCCCCAUUGUCACUACUGCAUUUGACUAGGAUAUA
rnacentral:Y_RNA from 1 species